rnacentral:pre_miRNA from 3 species
UCCUAUGGAUGAGCAAAGGAAGUGGUUUCUUGAGAAGAAACCUACUUCUGGUGAAGAUGCUGUGAA